AUCACUGAAGACCUGACACUGGCGGAAUCGGACGUCCACUGUCCUCAGCAGAAUUAAUCAGGUGUUAUCUUAUGCAAAUUGUAUCGCCAUCAGAUGAAGCCGAUGAUCCUGUCGAUGACAAUGACCCUGCUUCGCCGGAGGAACACACUUUUUUCCGUCUCCAAACGACCGGGGAGGCGCAGGGGCGAGACAAUAACACCCAGAAGUUAUUGAAAUGAAUCGUCAUGAAAGGAGCUGGCACAAGAAUAAAAAACAGAACGAGCACUAGCAGCAGUCUUCACUGCAGAGCGAAGGAAAGGAAGCCGAAUGCAACGAGGAAAAGACGAGCGUGAUGAAAGAGGUCCAGACAUGAAGGAGGCACGCACACACACAUGCAAUGGCACCUAGAGUCUGUCUGCGGUCUGCCAUCACCCUGCCACACACACACACACACACACACCGCCUGUUACGGUAAGAAUCAGAGACCACCGAGUUAGGGGGAGAAUAACAGUGAGAAAACAAGCUCAUUAUCUUGUGCUGUUUUCUUCUGAGUAAUGUAAAGACAAAUUGACUACUUGUAUUCCACAAUUUCCUAAAUUCAGUAUUUUGUUCAGUAAUUUAACAUCACAUUACACUCUGAAAAGUAGUUUCUUGGUGCUAUUAAAUUGCUAUGAAAAGAAAACGAAAUUGGGAUGUCUCAUUUUGGAAAAAAUCUUAGUGCCAUUUUAUGUAGUACUGGUAUGUGUUUGCUCUCAUGCAUGCAAUUUGUAGUGUCUGUGUGUGUGUGCAUGUAGAAAGUCUGCUUCUUUUUUCUUUCUAUUUCCAUCAGUCAAGACCAAUCCCCACACGUCAGCCACACUACAUAUUCCACAAAAAAAAAACUUAUAUCCAACCCCUUACCCACCCCGUGCACCUCCCAGGCUUCGCAGCAUCCUGCUUUGCCCUCCAUCCAAAUAAAAAAAACGUGCGUGCUGAAAUUACAGUGUGUGAGGCGGCAUUGUGGGAAACUCUCCCCUCCGCCUCACUCCCUGUGUUUGCCCUUCUUGUCCCUCCUUAUCUAUUUCUCAUCCGCUACUGUUUUGGAUGGGUUGCGGCAGGUUUUAUUUUGAUGUUCAUUAAACUGUCAAACAGCUGCCCAUGUUAAUUUGCAUCUACAGUUACAGUGACUAAAGUUCAGACUGAGCUUAACAAGUUAUUAAUGCAGUUCUAAAUAAGAUUGGCCUCUUUGUAUUGAUUUUGUUUUUCUUUGUUAUUAUUUAGGAUGAUAGUUUGCACUUGAUGACCACUGAAUCUCUGUUUAUGUGUGUGUCUUAUCAACUGUUUUGAAAACAAUAGCUCACAAGUAAAAAAAACAAAUAUAAUUAAUUUGCAUUGACCUGUCCCAAAAAACCCCACAUAAAUAUUGGUCUAAAUUUUCUAUAACAAUACAUAUUGCUUAUGAGUUUAGCUUCUAUUACUAAUGCAUAUAACUCAGUAGUAUUUAAUUUUUAUGCACACUUCAGGUUUAAACUCCUGAUGUCUGGCAGGUCGUUCCCAGGGAAAACGUCUCCAAAGUUGCCAGAAAAGACUAUAAAUCUGCCCACCUACAAAGGCUUGAACAGAAAAGUCAGUGAAAAACAUUUUUGGGAGAAUAUCUUUGAAAAGUACAGUGCAAAAAUAUGACGGCAUGGCAGUGGUAGACAUGAGCAAAAUAAAUAAAUACAUAAAUAAGAGGGGAAAUUCUAGGAUUGUUGCUACUUAAAUCAGAAAGCAGCCCCAUCCUCUUGUUUUCUAGCUUCAGGUUAACUGAUGGCACCUCCCUCACAGCAACCGUAUUACUAACGAGAUGUAAUGACACAUUCAUCUCUCCUUUUCCAGUUUGGGGCUAGCUUGGUUAACUGUCGGCCGAGGUGCGGCAUGAGAGUGUGUGUGCUGGCUAUUAAAGCGCUUGAGAAUCAGAGAGGAAAGGACUUGCACUGCUAAUGGAUGUGUCUAUUGAUGUUCCCAUUUAGCGGCCCACUGUAAACGAUAGGGCAAUGAUUGUGUUGGAAGACGGAAGGAGGUGGAGGAGGAGUGGAGAGUGGUUUGGCUAGGCGAUGAUAAUGACAAGGAAGGUUAUUAUUUGGCACCCUGCAGAGUCUCUCACUGCUUUGUGUGUGUGAAAGAGAGAGAGAAGGAGGCACUCCAUCUCUCUUGCUCCUGUCGCUCGCCCUGCCUAUUGGCUAUUAUUCUCUUCUCGCUUUUUCUCCCCAGUCCUCUCCUCUCUCAUGACAUUACUCACUGGUGCUAGUCUACAGCCAGUUGUCUGUUUUUCUCUCACAUCCACCUCUAUUUCUCUUUUCUCAAUGGCCUUCCCUUUUUUUAAAUGUAGAUAUAUUUAGCUAUGGUAGAUAAAAUAGCAGAAAAAGAAGUCAGAAUAACAGAAUAAUGCCGCAGAGGAGGUAAAAUAGUUUCUCGUUUUUUAGGAUAGCAGGUUGCCCUUCAAAUAUUGAUUUAUUCACCAGUAGAUAUUUUUCCCCAGCUGUGUGUGUGUGUGUGUGUGUGUGUGUGUGUGUGUCCUGUCAGGUCCAGUCAGUGUGUAUGUGAUGAAUAUAAAUACAGUCAGCCUGCCUGCAGGUUUGGCAGGAGACCACCUCCAGCUGGACUCAGACCCCUACUCAAGUGUGUCUGUGUGCGUUUUGUGAGCGUGGUUGUACACGUCAGCCUGCAUCUGUCAGCGCCGUUCCAACCUGAGGAUGAAAUAACGAAUAAUAUACUACCUAAUAUACACCGCUUGACACGCGAUGCUUUCAAAGCCUCUCAACACAUAGGAAAGCAUACAGUUCCGGCAUCAGUGGGAAUUACACCACUUGUUCUCUGUACAGAUUGAAAUGUAUUGACAUUGGAUGGAAAAGCAUGUUUGAAAAUGGUAGUUUAGUAAAUGCUUGCAAAUGUUGAGAGGUUUUUUGUCCAUGUUUCAGUGCACGCACAAUCCUGCCUUCCUCACUUCCUUUCCCCCAGUUACUGUAAUCAGCCCCAUUCUUUCCACUCCAGCUUGUCAGUCCAUUUGUGUGUGUGUGUGUGUGUGUGUUUUAUUGUUGACUGCAUAUUGUUUGCUAGAAGAUUAAUAGUGUUUAUAUUUGUAAAUAUCUUGUCAUUGUAGUAUAAGUCCAUCUAUCAUUUUCUCUGUGUGUGUGUGUGUGUGUCUGUAAUCGCAGGGCAACAGAUAAAGAGGGCGAUGGCAUUCCAGCUGUGAGGAGACUGAAGAAGUCAAUAUAGACACACACACACACACACACACACACACACACACACACACACACACACACACACAGAGAGAGAGCCAGAGGCGCGUGAGCAGGUGAGCAUUAAGUCAGGCAGCUAAACAGAUCACGUCGCGGUAUGAUAUCUGCAGACAGGCAGACAGAGGAGGCCGGUCUGUACCUGCAGGCAGAGAGCAACAACUCGCAGCACCCUCGCCAGGAAUCCCCCCCCCCCCCCUCCAGAGAGAGAGAGAGAGAGAGAGAGAGAGGGGGGAGGGGGAGAGAGAAAUUCACAGUCAUGACAGUGAAUAAGAGACAUACAUGAACUGGGCUUUCCACUUAAGUGUUUUUAUGCAAAUCAAGUAGUAAAGCCUGAUUAGAAACUAGCUGGCAAAAGUUGUGUUUUUUUUGUCGGAUUUUUUUCAAAUACGUUCACUGUAAUAUUUUAACUUUGAAAUGAAACACAGAAUUUUCUGUUGAUUAAAAAAAAGAACCCAAAUAGACAAAAUAAUGAGAGGCCUAUAUUUCAGUAUUCAGAGUGUGUGGACAUUCAGGAUUUCUGUCAGAUAAAAUUUUUGUCAAUUGCAACUACCCAGAAAUCUUAUACAUUUAGUUUCUUCCAUACAAAGUGCUUGAAAAACAAAAAUAGCUGCUAAUAAGGAAUGCUAACAUCAUUAUUCAGUUCAUCAAUGUCUCCAUAAUUAGUUUUGUGUAGCAGGUUAAGUAAUUGUAGUUUUCGUUUGUAUUGAGUUUUAGAUUUGCCUUAUCCAGCUCCAUUUGCUAAACCUAACCCUUUAUCUCUGGAAAUGGUUUUCUCUUUAGCUUGUAUUUUUCAUAUUCAACCUGUCUUAUGAUUUAAAAAAAAGACUUUGUCUCAUAGAUAUAUUUUGUUUUAUAUUUCAUGCAUGUUUUUUAUAAAGCAAAAGUUUGCUUGUGAAUGCCUAAAAUGAUCUUCAUGGAGGGACAAUAACAACAGCAAGAUGGAAGAGUGGAGGAAAAAUACUCCCAGGUGGACAAAAAGUAGCACAAAAACUGUCCCCUCCUUUGGCCCGUCAUUCUCCCCUUAACCUCUACUGAUGAAAGGAUAUCCAUUGACAUAAAAAAAAGAACAGCACAUUCACACGCUACUGUAUUGCCGAGUACAGAUGGUUCUUUUGUUAUAUUGGAGUAAUUCGAUCACCUCCUGUAUGAUUUGUCUUUCUGGAAUCAGGGUGUUUUGACAGGGUCUACAGUACUAAUUGUGAAACUUUGACAGUAUCUGUUACACAAACUUGUUCUGCUAGUUUGGUUUUGUUAGCGCUCCUUAGAGCAAGUUUUUUAUAGCUUCCUUUCAUUCACAAUCUGCUCAGCAUAUGUGGCCUUUAUCUGUGGUGUCCUGUAUCACAUUCAUAGUAAUUCCCCUUUUGGUAGAUGUCCAUUACAGUUGUGGUUUUCCACUAGGAAGCGUCACUGAACAAACUGUAGGUUACGUUGUUGCUCAAGACAACCUCAACAGUAGUUACUGAAUGAGGAGAGCGUCACAUCUCCCGCGUCUGAGUUUUGGUCCAGCAAUUUGCUGCAAGUCACAAACGUGGUUCUCUUCCAUCUGCCCUUGUCAAUGAAUUGAAGUUGUUUCACUCAUUAGGUUCUGUAAUUAUUCCUUAGUGGAUUUUUUUUCUUGUGUUUUUCAAAGCUCUUUAUAUUUAGCCAGAAAAACAUCCCCAAAAAAGUCACAACUGUCUACACACAAACUACCACAUCCACUUAUCUAAAAAUGAUUCAGUGGUUAAAUGUCAGAGCUGUCCAUGCCAUUAAGGCCAGCAUGUUUG